rnacentral:rRNA from 1 species
GCCGCGGUAAUACGGGGGAUGCAAGCGUUAUCCGGAAUCAUUGGGCGUAAAGCGCCUGUAGGUUGUUUAAUAAGUCUGUUGUUAAAGACUAGGGCUCAACCCUAGAAAAGCAAUGGAAACUACUAGACUAGAGUAUGGCAGGGGUAGAGGGAAUUUCUAGUGUAGCGGUGAAAUGCGUAGAUAUUAGAAAGAACACCGGUGGCGAAAGCGCUCUACUGGACCAUUACUGACACUCAGAGGCGAAAGCUAGGGUAGCAAAAGGGAUUAGAUACCCCUGUAGUCCUAGCCGUAAACGAUGGAUACUAGAUGUUGUGCGUAGUGUACAGUGUCCUAGCUAACGCGUUAAGUAUCCCGCCUGGGGAGUACGCUCGCAAGGGUGAAACUCAAAGGAAUUGACGGGGGCCCGCACAAGCGGUGGAGCAUGUGGUUUAAUUCGAUGCAACGCGAAGAACCUUACCAGGGCUUGACAUACUACAAAUUCUUUAGAGAUAAAGAAGUGCCUUCGGGAAUGUAGAUACAGGUGGUGCAUGGCCGUUCUUA